rnacentral:lncRNA from 10 species
CAAAGUAGUUCUCGGGAGAAAAUUUUCUAGGCCACUCCGUGGAGGAAAUUCCUUCUUUCCUUUGGAUAAAUUCCUCUAAUUUAAGCUCCCAUCGUCAUAGCGAUCUGCAUUCCAUCAUCCACAAGGCAAAGGAAAGCAUUUGCCAUCAAACAAGCUUCAGUUGUAUUUUCCUUGUUUUUCUGCAGAGGAGUUCCAGGCUGGUGGGUGGCUCUGGGCGGGGCAGUGGGCUUUGCAGCUUCCCCUCCUCUCUGCUCCCUCUCUUUUCCUUGGGCUUGGGGGUUUCCUUGCUCAGGUGACUGGGGCGACCCCGCCCUCUCCAGCGCAGGGCCACACUUUCUGAUUUUGUGGAGAAGAGGACAAUUUACACACACCCAAAAUCCAAAAUGCAACUCAAUGUACCAUAACACUUUUUGAUCUGAGACAGGUCUCAAUCAAUUUAGAACGUUUAUUUUGCCAAGGUUAAGGAUGCACCCGUGACACAGUCUCAGGAGGUCCUGAUGACAUGUGGCCAGGGUGGUUGGGGUACAGCUUGCUUUUAUACAUUUUAGGGAGACAUGAGACAGUGGGGGUGGGGAAGGGGGGAGGGAGAGGGGCUUCCAGAUCAUAGGUAGAGGAGAGACAAAAGGUUGCAUCCUUUUAAGUCCUUGAUCAGCCUUUCACUGAACACACAAUUUAGUCUGGCUCAGUGUGGGCAAAUUGUGAGGGAGGUAUGUAGGCUUUUUCAUCUUUGUAGCUAUCUUAUUUAGGAAUAAAAUGGGAGGAAUAAAAAGGCAAACCUUUGCCUGACUUUUCCUUUGGCUUAGUGAUUUUGGGAUCCUGAGAUUGCGGGUUUUUUUUUUUUUUUUUUUUUUGAGACGAAGUCGCCCAGGCUGGAGUGCAGAGGUGUGUGAAGUCGCCCAGGCUGGAGUGCAGAGGUGUGCGGCUCAAUGCAACCUCCGUCUCCUGGGUCCAAGCGAUUAUCCUGCCUCAGCCUCUAGAGUAGCUGGGAUUACAGGCGUGAGCCACCACGCCCAGCCAGUCUUUGUAGUUUUAGCAGGGAUGGGGUUUCACCAUGUUGGCCAGUCUGGUCCUGAACUCCUGACCUCAGGUGAUCCGCCAGCCUUGGCCUCCCAAAGUGCUGGGAUUUAAGGAGUGCGCCACUGUGCCUGGCCCCGAGAUUUAUUUUCCUUUCACAGAUCUAACGACUGGAGUUCUUGUCCUUUAUUUUGUUUAGAAACAAAAUAAAGAUUCUUCAAUGUCCCUCAAGAGGAUGGUGCUCAGCUGAGCAAUACGGUUUGUUGUUCAAGGGAGGUGCUAAAUCCUUCAAUACACACAUCACUUAGGUACACUAAAUUAUUAAUUGUAUUUUUUAUUGCAAAUAUUUAAUGACCUAAAAAUACAGAGGGUAAUACUCCCACUGGUGAGAUGAAAACUUAGCUUUGUUUUGGGAGCAAAUAAACUCUUCAUUAUCAGCACUUUCUGGGGUUGGGGAAGUGCAGGUUGCCUGUUUAAAAACAAAUUAACUUGUUACAAACGAUUAAAACAAAAAUUACAUACCAGAGGUACAACCUAUGCAGACAAACAUUAACAACAAAUCUACGGAGAGAGGUUGUGUAUGUGUGGGGGUGGGGGGGGUGGGGUAGGGAGUAUAUGGGAAAUCUUUGUGCCUUUAUUUAUUUAUUUAUUAUUUAUUUAUUGAGACAGGGUCUUGCUCUGUUGCCCAGGCUGGAGUGCAGUGGUACAAUCGUGGCUCACUUUAGCCUCGAGCUCCUGGGCUCAAGUGAUCUUCCUGCCGCAGACUCCUGAGUGACUGGGACUGAGACAGGAGUUUGUCAGGACAGGUUUUGCAAGGUACAGGUCACGAGGACCCCGCUGCUGAAACAAGAUGCGGUACAUAAGUGGAUCGAAGCCCGCCAAAACCAAGAUGACAACUGAAGUGACCUCUGGUUGUCCUCACUAUUCACGAUACACUCAUUAUAACAAAUGAGCAUGCUAAAAGACACGCCCACCAGCGCCAGGACAGUUUACAAACGCCAUGGCAACACUUGGAAGUUACCCUAUGUGGUCUGAAAGCGGGGGGAACCCUCAGUUCCAGGAAUGGCUGCUCCUUUCCGGAAAACCUCAUGAAUAACCCACCCCUUGUUUAGCAUAAGAUCAAGAAAUAAUACUCCAUUUGAAAAAUAAAUGAAUUAAAAAAAGAAAUAAGCAUAAAAAUAGCCAACUAGUGGCCCUUGGAGCUGCUCUGCCUAUGGAGUAGGCACUCUUUUCUCCCUUUACUUUCUUAGUAAACUUGCUUUCACUUUACUCUGUUGGCUCCCUCUGUUUUUUUUUUUUUUUUUUUUUUUUUGAGACAGAGUCUCUCACUAUCACCCAAGCUGGAGUGCAGUGGCGCGAUCU